GGACAGAAAGUGCUUGUUUUUUGGCAAUGAAAAUUUAAUGUUCAUCGUGUAUGUAGAUGCAUAUAUGAAGGGUGGUGUCGAUUCAAGAAAUUUAGUUGACAUUACGGAAUCUAAUUACUUUUUUAGGGGGCCUUGUUUAUUGGAAAUGAAAAUUUUAUAAGUGUGUAUUAUAGAUGAAGAACUUCUUAUGUAAUUUAGGAUAUCUACAAGAUGAAUAUUCG
rnacentral:lncRNA from 1 species